AACGAACGCUGGCGGCAGGCUUAACACAUGCAAGUCGAGCGCCCCGCCAGGGGAGCGGCAGACGGGUGGGUAACGCGUGGGAACGUACCUUUUGGUUCGGAACAACUCCGGGAAACUGGAGCUACUACCGGAUAAGCCCUAACGGGGAAAGAUUUAUCGCCGAACGAUCGGCCCGCGUCUGAUUAGCUAGUUGGUGAGGUAACGGCUCACCAAGGCGACGAUCAGUAGCUGGUCUGAGAGGAUGAGCAGCCACACUGGGACUGAGACACGGCCCAGACUCCUACGGGAGGCAGCAGUGGGGAAUAUUGGACAAUGGGCGCAAGGCUGAUCCAGCCAUGCCGCGUGAGUGAUGAAGGCCGUAGGGUUGUAAAGCUCUUUUGUCCGGGAAGAUAAUGACUGUACCGGAAGAAUAAGCCCCGGCUAACUUCGUG
rnacentral:rRNA from 1 species